rnacentral:tRNA from 1 species
GGUGAGGUGUCCGAGUGGCUGAAGGAGCACGCCUGGAAAGUGUGUAUAUGCAAAAGUAUAUCGAGGGUUCGAAUCCCUCUCUCACCGCCA